UACAGAGGUCCCAAGCGUUGUUCGGAUUCACUGGGCGUAAAGGGUGCGUGAGGUGCGGGGUAAGUCGGAUGUGAAAUCUCGGAGCUCAACUCCGAAAUGGCAUUGGAAACUACCCUGCUAGAGGGUUGGAGGGGGGACUGGAAUACUUGGUGUAGCAGUGAAAUGCGUAGAUAUCAAGUGGAACACCAGUGGCGAAGGCGAGUCCCUGGACGACUCCUGACACUGAGGCACGAAAGCUAGGGGAGCAAACAGG
rnacentral:rRNA from 1 species